UACGAAGGGGGCUAGCGUUGCUCGGAAUCACUGGGCGUAAAGCGCACGUAGGCGGAUCUUUAAGUCAGGGGUGAAAUCCCGGAGCUCAACUCCGGAACUGCCUUUGAUACUGAGGGUCUCGAGUUCGGGAGAGGUGAGUGGAACUGCGAGUGUAGAGGUGAAUUCGUAGAUAUUCGCAAGAACACCAGUGGCGAAGGCGGCUCACUGGCCCGAUACUGACGCUGAGGUGCGAAAGCGUGGGAGCAAACAGGG
rnacentral:rRNA from 1 species